UAUUGGUCAAUGGCCGAGAGGCUGAACCAGCCAAGUCGCGUGAAGGAAGAAGGAUCUAUGGUUUGUAAACUUCUUUUAUAGGGGAAUAAAGUGGAGGACGUGUCCUUUUUUGUAUGUACCCUAUGAAUAAGCAUCGGCUAACUCCGUGCCAGCAGCCGCGGUAAUACGGAGGAUGCGAGCGUUAUCCGGAUUUAUUGGGUUUAAAGGGUGCGUAGGUGGUGAUUUAAGUCAGCGGUGAAAGUUUGUGGCUCAACCAUAAAAUUGCCGUUGAAACUGGGUUACUUGAGUGUGUUUGAGGUAGGCGGAAUGCGUGGUGUAGCGGUGAAAUGCAUAGAUAUCACGCAGAACUCCAAUUGCGAAGGCAGCUUACUAAACCAUAACUGACACUGAAGCACGAAAGCGUGGGUAUCAAACAGGAUUAGAUACCCUGGUAGUCCACGCAGUAAACGAUGAUUACUAGGAGUUUGCGAUACAAUGUAAGCUCUACAGCGAAAGCGUUAAGUAAUCCACCUGGGGAGUACGCCGGCAACGGUGAAACUCAAAGGAAUUGACGGGGGCCCGCACAAGCGGAGGAACAUGUGGUUUAAUUCGAUGAUACGCGAGGAACCUUACCCGGGUUUGAACGUAGUCAGACCGGCCUUGAAAGAGGUCUUCUAGCAAUAGCUGAUUACGAGGUGCUGCAUGGUUGUCGUCAGCUCGUGCCGUGAGGUGUCGGCUUAAGUGCCAUAACGAGCGCAACCCUUAUCACUAGUUACUAACAGGUGAAGCUGAGGACUCUGGUGAGACUGCCAGCGUAAGCUGUGAGGAAGGUGGGGAUGACGUCAAAUCAGCACGG
rnacentral:rRNA from 1 species